rnacentral:rRNA from 1 species
GAUGAACGCUAGCUACAGGCUUAACACAUGCAAGUCGAGGGACCGGCGCACGGGUGAGUAACACGUAUCCACCCUGCCCUUUACUCGGGGCUAGCCUUUCGAAAGAAAGAUUAAUACCCGAUAUAAAGGUUGGGGGUGCAUUCCUUUAGGUUGUUGGUGAGGUACCGGCCCACCACGCCUUCGAUGGAUAGGGGUGCUGAGAGGAAGGUCCCCCACAUUGGAACUGAGACACGGUCCAAACUCCUACGGGAGGCAGCAGUGAGGAAUAUUGGUCAAUGGGCGUUAGCCUGAACCAGCCAAGUAGCGUGAAGGAUGAAGGCUUAUGGGUCGUAAACUUCUUUUAUAUAAGAAUAUGUAUUAUAUGAAUAAGGAUCGGCUAACUCCGUGCCAGCAGCCGCGGUAAUAC